GCGGCGCGGUCGUUGAGUUGGUCAAGCGUCAGGCUGCUGAUCGGAUGGGUGACGACCGCGGGUUCGAGACCGGCCAUGCCGCGC
rnacentral:tRNA from 1 species